CACGUAGGGUGCGAGCGUUUGUCCGGAAUUAUUGGGCGUAAAGAGCUCGUAGGCGGUUUGUCGCGUCGGCUGUGAAAACUCGGGGCUCAACCCCGAGCCUGCAGUCGAUACGGGCAGACUAGAGUGCGGUAGGGGAGACUGGAAUUCCUGGUGUAGCGGUGAAAUGCGCAGAUAUCAGGAGGAACACCGGUGGCGAAGGCGGGUCUCUGGGCCGAUACUGACGCUGAGGAGCGAAGCGUGGGGAGCGAACAGGA
rnacentral:rRNA from 1 species